rnacentral:rRNA from 1 species
AGAGUUUGAUCCUGGCUCAGGAUGAACGCUAGCUACAGGCUUAACACAUGCAAGUCGAGGGGCAGCAUGGUCUUAGCUUGCUAAGGCCGAUGGCGACCGGCGCACGGGUGAGUAACACGUAUCCAACCUGCCGUCUACUCUUGGACAGCCUUCUGAAAGGAAGAUUAAUACAAGAUGGCAUCAUGAGUCCGCAUGUUCACAUGAUUAAAGGUAUUCCGGUAGACGAUGGGGAUGCGUUCCAUUAGAUAGUAGGCGGGGUAACGGCCCACCUAGUCUUCGAUGGAUAGGGGUUCUGAGAGGAAGGUCCCCCACAUUGGAACUGAGACACGGUCCAAACUCCUACGGGAGGCAGCAGUGAGGAAUAUUGGUCAAUGGACGAGAGUCUGAACCAGCCAAGUAGCGUGAAGGAUGACUGCCCUAUGGGUUGUAAACUUCUUUUAUAAAGGAAUAAAGUCGGGUAUGCAUACCCGUUUGUAUGUACUUUAUGAAUAAGGAUCGGCUAACUCCGUGCCAGCAGCCGCGGUAAUACGGAGGAUCCGAGCGUUAUCCGGAUUUAUUGGGUUUAAAGGGAGCGUAGGCGGACUAUUAAGUCAGCUGUGAAAGUUUGCGGCUCAACCGUAAAAUUGCAGUUGAUACUGGUCGUCUUGAGUGCAGUAGAGGUAGGCGGAAUUCGUGGUGUAGCGGUGAAAUGCUUAGAUAUCACGAAGAACUCCGAUUGCGAAGGCAGCUUACUGGACUGUAACUGACGCUGAUGCUCGAAAGUGUGGGUAUCAAACAGGAUUAGAUACCCUGGUAGUCCACACAGUAAACGAUGAAUACUCGCUGUUUGCGAUAUACAGUAAGCGGCCAAGCGAAAGCAUUAAGUAUUCCACCUGGGGAGUACGCCGGCAACGGUGAAACUCAAAGGAAUUGACGGGGGCCCGCACAAGCGGAGGAACAUGUGGUUUAA